CACGUAGGGACGAGCGUGUUCGGAUGUACUGGGCGUAAAGGGUGCGUAGGCGGGUCUUUAAGUCAGGGGUGAAAUCCUGGAGCUCAACUCCAGAACUGCCUUUGAUACUGAAGAUCUUGAGUUCGGGAGAGGUGAGUGGAACUGCGAGUGUAGAGGUGAAAUUCGUAGAUAUUCGGAAGAACACCAGUGGCGAAGGCGGCUCACUGGACUGGUAUUGACGCUGAGGUGCGAAAGCGUGGGGAGCAAACAGG
rnacentral:rRNA from 1 species